UCGGAAGGAUCAUUAC
rnacentral:rRNA from 2 species